rnacentral:lncRNA from 1 species
UAGUGAAUAUGUUUUUCGUCCCACUCAAACGAUCAAGAAUAAUUCUCUAACAAAUUAAAAGACAAAUUCAAAAUUAAGGAAAUAUAAUUAUAGCAAAAAACUAAACACCGUAUUUUAAAAAAGAUUAAAUUGAUUUACCUUUCCCAUUUCUUUUCCAAGUUCUAUAGAUUCAAGUUUUGUUCCAUUCAUCCCCGAAUCUUCUUCAUUAGUCAAAUGUGGCUUAGUAGAUUCAAGUUUUAUGGCAUUCAUUCCAAGAAUUACUUGGUUAGCCAAGCAAAUUACACUAUGUGUGUAAGAUGAAGAAAAGAAAAUACCGUAAAAGGGUAUAGAAAUGAGAAUUCAGAAUAGCAAGUUCUGAAGCCAAUACUUGUAGAUAAACAAUUGAGUUAGUUUGUUUGUUUUUUUAGCAGAUUUUAGUUAGUUAAAUUCGGUUAUGGGCAGUUACUUAUCUUGAGUUAGUUAAUUUUAUUGGAUAAAUUUCUGUUUGUCAAAAUCUCUUAUUUUAUUAUUAAAAUUAGUUAUUCUACAUUCCUUGUAUGUAAAGAA